rnacentral:hammerhead_ribozyme from 1 species
AUCCAGAUGACGAGUCUCAAACAGGACUAAAUGAGCCACCUGGAU